rnacentral:rRNA from 1 species
GACCACUCAACUACGCCCUGUGUAAAGUGGCGCACGGCGUGAGUAACACCAUGGGUAACGUUCCCUCAUGCGGGGGAUGACCAUUCCGAAAGGACGGCUAAUACCUGCAUAUGACCACCGUCUCAAAAGAGGCUGAGGAAUAUCGCAGGCCUCUGCACGCUAGCUUGCACCUGAGCGAUCGGACCACGCCCCAUCAGCUAGAUGGUACGGUAACGGCCUACCUAGGCAAACACCGGUAGCUGGUCUGAGAGGAUGAUCAGAACACGCUGGAACUGAAAACUCCUCCAGACUCCUACGGGAGGCAAAUUUGGGGAAUCUUGCGAAAUGCUGCACAAAGCCUGACGCACCUGACACCAUCGAUGGGUGAUUGAAGGCCUUCCGGUUGUUAAGCCCUGAGGAGGAGAGACGAUUCAGGCGGAGCCAAUACCUCCGUUCUUUUUGGCAUCUCCUUAGCAAGUACCAGCUAACUCUGUGCCA